CCCACAUGCAUAGGCACCACAUCACAUACUACUUUGUCACUAUAACUCCCAAUUGAGAAAUUAAUUAAAACUCUUCUAUUCACCCUAACUUCCCCACUUUCAUUCAACCAUUGCAACUUAUAAGGCCUAUGGUGUCUUAACAAUGCUAGUCCUAAUUUCUCAACUAAAGUUGUGCUAACUACAUUCGUGCAACUCCCACCAUCAAUAAUCAUACUACAUACCUUAUCGUU
rnacentral:lncRNA from 1 species